rnacentral:rRNA from 1 species
UACCAGCACCCCGAGUGGUCGGGACGUUUAUUGGGCCUAAAGCAUCCGUAGCCGGUUCUACAAGUCUUCCGUUAAAUCCACCUGCUUAACAGAUGGGCUGCGGAAGAUACUAUGGAGCUAGGAGGCGGGAGAGGGAAGCGGUACUCGAUGGGUAGGGGUAAAAUCCGUUGAUCCAUUGAAGACCACCAGUGGCGAAGGCGGCUUGCCAGAACGCGCUCGACGGUGAGGGAUGAAAGCUGGGGGAGCAAACCGG